AUUGAACGCUGGCGGCAGGCCUAACACAUGCAAGUCGAGCGGAUGAAGGGAGCUUGCUCCUUUAUUCAGCGGCGGACGGGUGAGUAAUGCCUAGGAAUCUGCCUGGUAGUGGGGGAUAACGUUCCGAAAGGAACGCUAAUACCGCAUACGUCCUACGGGAGAAAGCAGGGGACCUUCGGGCCUUGCGCUAUCAGAUGAGCCGAGGUCGGAUUAGCUAGUUGGUGAGGUAAUGGCUCACCAAGGCGACGAUCCGUAACUGGUGUGAGAGGAUGAUCAGUCACAAUGGAACUUAGACACGGUCCAGACUCCUACGGGAGGCAGCAGUGGGGAAUAUUGGACAAUGGGCGAAAGCCUGAUCCAGCCAUGCCGCGUGUGUGAAGAAGGUCUUCGGAUUGUAAAGCACUUUAAGUUGGGAGGAAGGGCAGUAAGUUAAUACCUUGCUGUUUUGACGUUACCAACAGAAUAAGCACCGGCUAACUUCGUGCCAGCAGCCGCCGUAAGAC
rnacentral:rRNA from 1 species